rfam:Schistosoma curassoni strain Dakar, Senegal genome assembly, scaffold: SCTD_scaffold0003997
CUCUAGCUGACGAGUCCUAAAUAGAACGAAACACGCACCCUGGAU